CGGACGGGUGAGUAAUGCCUAGGAAUCUGCCUGGUAGUGGGGGACAACGUUUCGAAAGGAACGCUAAUACCGCAUACGUCCUACGGGAGAAAGCAGGGGACCUUCGGCCUUGCGCUAUCAGAUGAGCCUAGGUCGGAUUAGCUAGUUGGUGAGGUAAUGGCUCACCAAGGCGACGAUCCGUAACUGGUCUGAGAGGAUGAUCAGUCACACUGGAACUGAGACACGGUCCAG
rnacentral:rRNA from 1 species